rnacentral:misc_RNA from 1 species
AUGAAAAUGGAAAAAAAAAAUAAAAAUAAAAGUUGUUGUUUCUACUUAAAAGAUAAGGCAAAUAAUCCCAUAGCAAGCUCGUGGUUAUUCGCUUUUCUCGACCCUUUUUAAAUAACCACAACAAAGGUGCAGUAGCAAUAGCUGAUGGUGGAACUGAAGGAGGUGGGACGGUGAUUGUGAUGUGGUAGCAUAGUGGAGAGGUGUAGGAGGGCGAGGCAGCAGCAGCAAUGGUUGGAGGGAUGGUUGGUGGUGCGGGGCUGGUGGCAAGUGAUGGUGAUGGAAGUGGCAAGGUGGUGCUGAGGGUGACUGGCAGGAUAGGUGGUGGUGCCGGCAAUGACGAUGAAAGUAUCAGCUGGGUGGAAGCCAUGAUAGAGUGGAGUGUGGUGGUGGCGACACGAUGGACGGACGACUGCAGAGGGUGUUGGUGGCUGGUUGGUUAUGGUUGCAGCAAUUUAGAGUGUGCGUUUUUUUAUUUCAGCUCGGGAUUUGUCUAGGAAUUAAAAUAAAAUCUAAAUUUUAGUAUGUUUUUGGUUUAAUUUUUCAUUAUUUUGAUUUAGUACGGUUUUUAAUUUUGCGAUUCAGUUCGAUGUGGU